GGGGGUUUAGCUCAGUUGGCAGAGCGUUCGCUUAGCACGGCACAGCAUCUCGAGCUGUACAAGUGAUCUGCGAAAGGUCGCGUGUUCGACUCAUGCAGUCUCCA
rnacentral:tRNA from 2 species